CCCGGAGUUGCUGCAGUGCCUGUCUGCCCGCGCCCCUCAGCCUGCCGCCGGGCGCGCGCCCCGGGGCCGCGCCUCCGCGGUUCUAGAAGGGGCAGGAAUCUCAUCCCCAGGCCAGCAGAGGGGAGGCGGGAAUGCGCGGGUGCCGCCUCAGAGCCGCCGGAGCUUGGCCUCCGUCCGGAAAAAAGCAAGCGCGGGAAAAAGUGGGGCAAAAGCAGGCGGGGAGGCGGUCUUGGAAGCCGCCCAAGAUAGGAACCUUGAAUGAAUGAAGCGAGGAAGCCAAGAAACAGACUUGUCGCACCCCACGCGGUCGCCCCCACAAAGUGAAACGCGCGUUGAGAGCGUGGAGAAUGAGGAGUUGUACUCCAGAGUCUUCGGGAAAACUUAUCCACGAUUUGUCUGGCGCUGAGUUGCCUUGAAAGUAGAACAGAAAUUAAAACGUCAUCUUUCUACACCUGAUGACCCCCUCCCACCUUGCAGAUUUCUGCCACAGGCGCCAUCUUUGGUUCUGAGUCACCAGGGAUGGAAAAACACCAGACGCCUUACUCGUCCACGCUUAGUGAGAGGCCGUUUUCUGCAGUUGGCAGCCACGCACCAGAAACCUGUUGCCUCAUUUGUAGGGCCAGAGAGUUUGUGUGUUUCUCUGGUUGCCAGCUUCUCCAUUCUCACUGGCAUCACCGCAUCUUAUAAAUGAUGGCAAGUGUUUCUCCAGAACCUCUGAGGAGGCGAUGAGAAAGAAAUAUUACCAAACUGUGCUACUUUUCCCUCCAAAACUGGCUGGAAGAAUUUUGUGUAUCCCGUAAGAAAAGAAUUUCAGGUCUUCUUGCUAUAUUCUGCCUCUCUUCUUUACCUCGUGAUAGUGAAGAGUCUCUAAGGAACCUGUUGGAGAGGCAUCCCUUGAAACUGAAGGAAUUAAUCAAGAAAGAGGAUCCAGGAAACAGGAGACUUAUCACAGAAAAGCAACAAAGAGAAUCACCUGUUUGAUGGCAAGUUAUGAAUGAAUGAAAAGUACCUAAUAUUCACCAACCUUGCCAGCAUUUGUUGUUGUCAGUGUUUUGGAUUUUGGCCAUUCUAAUAGGUCUCAUGGUAAGAAAAAAGCUGAGGAUGAGGAAACAGAAGAGGGAGGAAAACACUGUAUGGUUUUGGCCUAAUUGUCUGUCUACAUACAGCACUGGUAGAGAUAUCUGAAAACUGUUUCCAAAUUUCUUACCAAAUGAGUAGAGCUUCAGAACCAUGAGAAUGCUCCAUCUCUCCGUCUCAAGCAUGGGUAACUGGAGGAUAACACCCGAAAGUACCCCAAGAAAACCAAAAGAAGAACCAAGACGAGAACACAAGACAAAGAUCCCAGUUGAUAGUGAAGGGGCAGUAAUGUGGUUUGAACACUGGGAAGUUACAAUUUUCAUCCUAUAUGGGAUCAGAAGUUAGUUGAUGACGUUGGAAGUUACUUCGUGGUGUUUGCUUUUCUUCCUUAGUAAGAUAAGGGUUUGGCAAUAAGUAGUUUAAGGUUCUUGUAAGCUUUCAAAUUCUGUGAUCCUGUUUGUUCUCUCAAUUUAGUGGAAGGGAUACAGGAAUUAUCAAAAGUAAAAUGUGGCUUUUUUACAAAGCUUGUGUUCUUCUUUGUUAAAACAUGCCCUCUUUUGCUUCCUUUAUCUGUCAAAAUAAUUUCUAGUUUUAGUAAAAUAAAAUUUUAAUUUCCAUAUUUUAAGAAAUUCUUAGUUUUAGAAUCCCAAAUCAGAAAUUUCUUUAGUUUGAUUUUUCUUUUAUUAUUUCAUAUUUUAUCGUAUUAUGUGAUGCAAGUAUUCUAUAUUGAUUCUCUUUAAAAUUAAUAUGUGUGAUUGUUUAGUAUAUUCAGCAUAUUAAUUGCAAAGAAUGAGCUGUCAUUUAUUUUGAGCAAUAAAAUAAAUACCUUAACUUUGGCGAAAUAGUUUUUCUGAAUCAAUCUACAAUAGGGCAUUUGUAAACCUUGUAGCUUUGGGAAAAGACACAGUUGUGACCACAGUGUCUUUUUCCUGAGCUGCAAAUACUGUGUUGAAUGUUUUGUUAAAAUUUCUUAUGUCCUCCUCUUCAAUUGAUACCACCCACAUUUCAAUAUAUAUUUUUUUGACAGGCAGAGUUACACAGUGAGAGAGACAGAGAGAAAGGUCUUCCUUUGCCGUUGGUUCACCCUCCAGUGGCCACUGCGGCCGGCGUGCUGUGGCCGGCACACCGCGCUGAUCCGAAGCCGGGAGCCAGGUGCUUCUCCUGGUCUCCCAUGGGGUGCAGGGCCCAAGCACUUGGGCCAUCCUCCACUGCACUCCCUGGCCACAGCAGAGAGCUGGCCUGGAAGAGGAGCAACCGGGACAGAAUCCGGUGCCCCGACCGGGACUAGAACCUGGUGUGCCGGCGCCACAAGGUGGAGGAUUAGCCUAGUGAGCCACGGCGCCGGCCCUCGAUAUUAUUUUCUACUCUUACAUUCAAAAUUUUUUUAGUAUAGAAACAGAGUAGACUGAGAAAGAAGUGUCUCUUUUUUGUUUUUAAGGAUUUAUUUAUUUUACUUGAAAGUCAUAGUAACACAGAGAGAGGAGAGGCAGAGAGAGAGAGAGAGAAGUCUCAUCUGCUAGCUCACGCCCCAGAUGGCCACAAUGGCCAGAGCUGCGCCGAUCCGAAGCCAGGAGCCAGGAGCUUCUUUCGGGUCUCCCACAUGGGUGCAGGGUCCCAAGGACUUGGGCCAUCUUCUACUGCUUUUCCAGGCCAUAGCAGAGAGUUGGAUCGGAAGUGGAGCAGACGGUCUCAAACCGGCACCCAUAUGGGAUGCCAGCAUUGUAGGCAGUGCCUUUACCCACUAUACCAUAACACCAGCCCCGAAAGAAAUGCUUUUUUUUUUUUUUUUUUUUUGACAGGCAGAGUGGUCAGUGAGAGAGAGAGACAGAGAGAAAGGUCUUCCUUUUUCCAUUGGUUCACCCCCCAAUGGCCGCUGCGGCCAGCGCACUGUGGCCAGCGCACCACGCCGAUCUGAAGCCGGGAGCCAGAUGCUUCUCCUGGUCUCCCAUGCGGGUGCCGGGCCCAAGCACUUGGGCCAUCCUCCACUGCCUUCCCGGGCCACAGCAGAGAGCUGGACUGGAAGAGGAGCAACCGGGACAGAAUCCGGCGCCCCAACCAGGACUAGAACCCGGUGUGCCAGUGCCGCAGGCGGAGGAUUAGCCUAUUGAGCUGUGGCGCUGGCCUCCAGAAAUGCCUCUUUAAACAUAUGUUAUUUUGUGGCAAAUCUCAUGUAAUUAUGAGUCAAUUCAUCUUCCACAACAAAAUGGAGCCACCUUUAAAAUAUAGUCAUGUGACACAACGCAACAUUUCAGUUCAUGAAAGACUGCUUGUAUGAUGGAGGAUACACAAGAUUAUAUCACCUGGCAACAUCAUAAUAAUUUUAGUUGUGUAAGGACACUUUGAUGUUCACACAAGGACAGAAUCUUCUAAUGGUGCAUUUCUCAGGACAUAUCCCUAUUGUUAAAUGAUUUUAUGCAUAAUUGGUUUAUUUUAUUAUGGCUUUUAAUCAAAAAUCAAGUAGUAGCUCUUUUUUCUAUCAUGCCUGUGUUAAUCAGAGUUAUCUGGAGAAAAAGCCAAUAGGAUAUGUGUGGGGAGAUUUGCUUUAUGGAAUUGGUUCAUGCAGUCAUGAGGACUGGCAAGUCCAAAACCUGCAGAACAGACCACAGGUUGGAGACCCAGGGAAAGGAUAAUGUUGAGGCUUCAUUUUGAGGACAGAAUUUUCUUCUCUUUAGGGAAAUUCAGUCUUUUUAGAAGUCUUCAACUAAUUGGAUGAGGCCCACUCACCGUUUAGAAGGUGACCUGUGUUACUGAGUUCUGCCAAUUUGAAUUUUACUCUUAUCUAAAAAAAUCUUCACAGUAACAGCUAGACUUGUGUUUGACCAAAUAUCUGGGUGCACAUAAAAUUAAUCACCACUGCAUUUUUAUCAUGAAAGGAUGUUCUAUUUUAUCAAAGGCUUUUUCUGUGUCUAUUGAGAUGAUCAUGUGUUUUUUAUCCUAAAUUUGUUGAUGUGAUAUAUCAUAUUUAUUGAUUUGUAUAUUUUGAGCCAUCCCUGGUUAUUGUUCUAUUCAGGUUUUCUUUGUCUUUAUGCCUGAUUUUUGGUAAAUUACAUGUGUCUGGAAACCUGCAUAUUUGUUCUAGAUUCUCCAAUUUGUUGGUAUAUAGUUAUUUAUAGUAGCUCCUAAUGAUUCUUUGUAUUUCUGUUGUAUCAGUUGUAAUAUCUUCUUUCUCAUCACUUAUUUUAUUGGUUUGAGUCUUCUCCCCUUUUUUCUUGGUUAGUUGGGCCAAUAGUUGAUCAAUAUUUUUCAAAAAAAAUCAUUUCUUCAUUUCAUUAAUCUUUUGAAUAAUGCCUUUUUAUUUUUACUUUUAUUUAUUUCUUCUAUAGUUUAUAUAUAUCUUCCUACUAAUUCUGGGUUUGGUUUGUUCUUGCUUUCUAGGCCCUUGAGAUGCACUAUUAGAUUACGUAUUUGAAAUCUUUCUAUUUUUUGACAUAGGGACUUGAUUGCUAUAAACGUUCUUCUUAACACUGCUUUUUCUGUAUCCCAUACCUUUUGAUAUAUGUCUUUAUUUUCAUUAAUUUCAAGGUUUUUUUUACUUCCUUUUUGAACCACUGUUUAUUCAGGAACAUGUUUAGACUUGUUCUAUGGCCUUACUAGGGCCAUGUGGACUAUCCUAGAAAAUGUUCUAGCACUGAUGAAAAGAAUGUAAAUUCCGGAGUCAUGGGAUGGAAUAUUCUGUAGAUAUCUAUGAGGUUCAGUUGGUCUAUGGUGUAGAUUAGCUCUGUUCUUUGUUGAUUUUUUGUUUAAGCAAAAUGUAGUUGGCUCUUGUUUUUUAUUCAUUUAUCCAAUAUAUACUGGGGAAUUUAGCCCAUUUACAUUCAAGGUUAUUAUUAUUAUUGAAAAUAAUGGCUUUGUCCUGCCAUUUCUCCAUAAAGAUUCCCACUGUUGUUUGUUUAUUUGUUUUGCCAGGCAGAGUUAGACAGUGAGAGAGAGAGACAGAGAGAGAGUUAUAGACAGUGAGAGAUAGACAGAGAAAAAGGCCUUCCUUCUGUUGGUUCACUCCCCUAAUGGCCACUACGCCAAUCCAAAGCCAGG